ACAGAUUUUUUUUUCCUAUGCCUAAGCCGACUGUAAGUUUACAUCUUACUUUUCAUCUCUCAUCCACCUCAGCAUUAAGCGUUCUUACAGCCCACUAUUAUAUUUUCUCUCGUGACAUCAGUAAUCCGUAGUCCUAUCGUCUAUCGACACUACCAUAUUCAUCGUACACGCUGUUUCUAGCAACAGAAUCAUGAGUUACAGAAACAAGCUUUAUUCAAAGAGAACCUUUUGCUUAAAAUCUGAAAAUUUCCACAACAUAUAGGUAGCAACCAUAACUAUACAGUAACAAAGUUGCAGAGAUUAACUUCCUCUUAGGGGAAAAAAAGAAAUCCUUCUAAUUAAUCUCUGCACAGAGUAUUCAGAUAAGUGACCAUGCUGAGAUAUCCAAAUGACAAGUUGCCUUUUGAAAAAAAAAAUCAGAAAAGAAACCUCAACUUCAAUACGGCUCAUUUAGACAUUCAGGCCCAACAAGCGGGCUCCGGCCUCUGGGCCUGAUCUGAGCUGUAUUUGGGCCUUACAAAUGAGCUGUUAACUCGGAUGGGCCUAGGCCCACACCGUGUGGGCUGCUUGCAGAGAAACCAGAAGCAGAAGCAGACACAGACCUCGUCGCCUCCAGAUCGACGGCGACUACGGCGGCGGCGGCGGGUGCCACCGCCAACGCCGAGGCAGAGAGCGGCAAUGGCGAUGAGCCGCGCCCACCCGUCUGCAUGGGGAAGGAGGCGGUCAGGCGGCGGAGGAGGGGGAGGAGAUCCGCAUCCGCUCCAGCUUGACCAGGCAAGCUUUCCUCGACGCCCUCCCCUCCCAUCCCCUCCGCCGCCAUGCGUGUCGGAUCGAACUGCUUCUCCGUGAGAUUUACAGAGGAACGCCAUUUUCUGGAGGAUGCAUGUGAGAUGCUGCAGUGCAGAUGGAUUGGACCACAAGGUACAUUGGCGAUAAGAAUUUGUCGAGGAAGUUGUUCAAAUCGAAGCCAACCAACCAACACCUUCCUAACCCUAAUCAAAUUUGAUGUGGGCGAAAAGAUCUGCGGCUAGCCUAUCACCCAUCGAUCUCUUCCUACGCCAUUGAAGUUAACAAGCAAGCUAGGAAGCUACAUGCUGUCCUCGUGUCGAUCUCUUUAUUAUCCACAGUACGGAUUGGUCUUUUUUUAUGGAUUGCUUUGCAAUUGUAAUUGACAAGAAAACACAGCGAGGUAUAGCAAAGAACUCUUCAGUGUAGUUCUUGGAACAACUCUUUACAGAAGUGCAACCUGCAGCACAUUGCGAGUUCAGAAACCAGAAAUGCGCAAGAGUUCAGAAAGGCAUGUAAAAUGGAGAACAUAUGGAUGCCACAUCUGAUGAUAUCACAUCAUCGUAGAAAUAUGGAGCACAUACCAUAUGCAAGUUGCUUGUAAUGCUAGUCAAGUCUUCCUCAACCAACCCCUAAUGAUCAGAUAAGGAAGGACACACGAAGCAUCCUAAGAAAUCUCACUUGAUGUGGCUCUCCAUCUGAUGUUUCGGUGUGUUUCUUGUGUUGACAGAUGCUGGAGCUUGAAGUAAAUGCCUCUGCAUAUGCUUCUAUCCUACACUGAACCACUGCUGCUGUACGUACCCAAUCAUCUGAAACCAGUUCAGUACUAUGGUCUCCACAAGAGGACCCCAAUGCACCAACUGUUGCCUCCAUUGUAGCCAACAUUGCACUACCAGAUUCAUGACCCUGCUGCUCGCACCAACUAGUGUCAUUGAUGAGUGCGUGCAUGUCAUGGACCAAUUUGUUGCUCAUCUAUUCAAAGCACUAAUGGAUAUCCUCUGGAAAGUGAAAAGUUGAUAUAUUUUCUUUUAAA